rnacentral:lncRNA from 1 species
GGAGAAGGUCAAACAUAAGAAUCAAAUUAGGAGUAUAUUAAAAACCUGCAAAUGACUUAAGUCGUGGAAUUCAUGUUUUUCCUCAACUUUGCAACCUGUUAUCUCACAAUUCUAUAUCUAAACUCGAGUCAGACCCCUAAUAGAAGAUGUAGUGCCAUGAGUGUGUUACAACUUUGUUAUACUGACCCAAGUCUAAUUCACAACCAAACCUGUUAAAAAUCUUGGUCAAAGUCGCUCAAAACAGUCAAACGAGCACAAAUGCUUUUGUGCGCUAAGUCUGGAAGAACACCAAGAGUGCGUAUCUUGGCAAGCCCAUUC